rnacentral:rRNA from 1 species
GGCUGCAGAAUUUAUAACUGUACAAAGGUAGCAUAAUAAUUUGUUUUUUAAUUAAAAACUAGUAUGAAUGAUUAAAUGAAAUAUAAACUGUUUCAAUUAAAUAAAAAUUUAAAUUUUUAUUUAAGUUAAAAAACUUAAAUAAUUUUAAAAGACGACAAGACCCUAUAGAAUUUUAUUUAUUAUUUAAAAAUAAAAUUUAAUUAAUUUAAUUAAAUUUUAAUAAUAAAUUUAAUUGGGGUAAUUUAAAAAUUAAAAAAAUUUUUUUUAUAUAAAACAUUAAUUAAUGAAUAUAAAAUCUUAAAUUUUAAAUUAUUAAAAUUAAUUACCUUAGGGAUAACAGCAUAAUUUUUUUUAAAAGACCUUAUU